GGAUAGGUGGCCGAGUGGUCUAUGGCGGUAGACUGUAAAUCUAUUUUUUCGUUGGUUCGAAUCCAGCUCUAUCCA
rnacentral:tRNA from 1 species